rnacentral:rRNA from 1 species
AGUGAACGCUGGCGGUGGGCCUAACACAUGCAAGUCGAACGAGUGGCGGACGGGUGAGUAAUACAUCGUAAUCUACCCUGUCGUGGGGGAUAACGUAGUGAAACCUACGCUAAUACCGCAUACGCUUGAAUUAGCCGAUGUCGGAUUAGCUAGUUGGCGUGGUAUAGGCCCACCAAGGCGACGAUACGUAGCUGGUCUGAGAGGAUGAUCAGCAACACAGGAACUGAGAAACGGUCCAAACUCAUACGGGGGGCGACAGUGGGGAAUAUUGGACAAGGGGGGCAAGCCUGAUGCAGCCAUACCGGUUGGGUGAAGAAGGCCUGCGGGUUGUAAAGCCCUUUUGUUGGGAAAGCGGUACCCAAAGAGUAAGCACCGGCUAACUUCGUGCCAGCAGCCGCGGUAAUAC